AGUGGUUUUUAAAGAGAAUGUUAUGUUUCAUAUAACACCAGAUAUUCACCAGAUGAACUGAUGUUUUCCAACUUGUACUAAACUGUGUAUUGUCCCUCAUCAGGAUGGAAAUGACCUCCCCCCACCCAUUGGCUUUGAUGUGGACACACCCACCACUCUCCCACCUUGUAAGCGAUGCGUUUCCAUCUGCUGAAGCACACACGACUGAAUGUGGUGAACGUUCCUCAACGAGCUGCCAUAAACCCAGCAUGACAUCAUCUCUUUCACCGUGGACAAUACGCUGCUGUCAUUCACAGUGGGCGGAGUCUUCAAAGAAGUUGUUGUAGAUGAUAAAUCUAAAGAAUCUACAAGGUUUUCAUCACAGUUCCAGCAGUGGAUUCUGGGUAGGUUACACACGUAAAACCAAAGUGCUCAUUAUCAGCUGUAGCUUCAGAUAAUGCUUGCCUCCACUAGUAUGACUGGAAUGAACAAACAGUAAAUACUGUUUCACCACAUGUGUUUUCUGUGUAUUCCUAUAUUUACCUAAUGUAUAUUUAUUUGUCCAUAAAAUAAAAUGAUAAACGCUUUUACA
rnacentral:lncRNA from 1 species